UAGUCGUUGUCUAUUCUAGAAUAUUCAAUGCAGCAGAAUUGUAUAGGGAUUGCAACAUCAUAAAAACAAUGUUUGAUCAAUGCUGAGAAGUAAGCAAACUUCAUUUUUUGAUAAUAUUUUACUCCAUACAUACUUGAACUGAAAACCUAACAUGAGGUAUUGUCAAAAUAACAUCGAUCUUAAUCUGGCGAUAAUAAAGAUUAAAAGCAUAUGAGGCAGACAUGCGCUAACAGAUGCAUGAAACUCAUGGGCUGCUAGGUAGAGGUGGUGGUGGUGAGGGAGGAGGCACAUAAAAUUGAUGCGGCUUCCCAGGCUGAGGAGGAGGCUUCCACAUGGGACUCCCAACUCGAUCUGGGUAUACCUUCAUUUGCUUCAACAAUCGAUUUGAAGCAGCGGGCACAAAAUCCAUAUCAGAAGCAGCUUCUAAGGGUCGUGCCAUCGCCACGUAGCUCUUACCUGUGUGACUGAUCUGCAACACCACACUAUGAAUUAAUAUAACUAAAAGCAAGAAAAGAGCAUUCAUUGCAGUC